UAACCUACCCAUCAGAGGGGGAUAACACUUGGAAACAGGUGCUAAUACCGCAUAACAGUUUAUGCCGCAUGGCAUAAGAGUGAAAGGCGCUUUCGGGUGUCGCUGAUGGAUGGACCCACGGUGCAUUAGCUAGUUGGUGAGGUAACGGCUCACCAAGGCCACGAUGCAUAGCCGACCUGAGAGGGUGAUCGGCCACACUGGACUGAGACACGGCCAG
rnacentral:rRNA from 1 species